rnacentral:rRNA from 1 species
UACGAAGGGGGCUAGCGUUGUUCGGAAUUACUGGGCGUAAAGCGCACGUAGGCGGAUUUGCCAGUCAGGGGUGAAAUCCCGGGGCUCAACCUCGGAACUGCCUCUGAUACAGCAAGUCUUGAGUCCGGAAGAGGUGGGUGGAAUUCCUAGUGUAGAGGUGAAAUUCGUAGAUAUUAGGAAGAACACCAGUGGCGAAGGCGGCCCACUGGUCCGGUACUGACGCUAAGGUGCGAAAGCGUGGGGAGCAAACGGG